rnacentral:rRNA from 1 species
UGGCGUCCGAGUUGUAAUUUGAAGAGGAAGGUCCCGCGAGGGCGCCGGUCUAUGUUCCUUGGAACAGGUCAUCAGAGAGGGUGAGAAUCCCGUAUGUGACCGGAGGGCCUUUGCAAGUGGAGUUGCCUCGUCGAGUCGAGUUGUUUGGGAAUGCAGCUCAAAGUGGGAGGUAAAUUUCUUCCAAAGCUAAAUACGGGCCAGAGACCGAUAGCGCACAAGUAGAGUGAUCGAAAGAUGAAAAGCACUCCGGCAGGGGGGUUAAACAGCACGUGAAAUUGUUGAAAGGGAAGCGCUUGCAACCAGACGUGCGGCGGUGGCAUGUGCCUAGCUGCAGGGCAGCGGCGGUUUGGGCGGUCGGAGAAAGACCUGGGGAAUGUGGCUCCUUCGGGAGUGUUAUAGCCUCGGGUGGAAUGCGAUCUGCCGGGACCGGCGCUGGCGUAAUGGUUGUAAGCGGCCCGUCUUGAAACACGGACCAAGGAGUCUAACAUCUAUGCGAGUCUUUGGGUGUCAAACCCACAGGCGCAAUGAAAGUGAACGGAGGUGGGAACCCUUCGGGGUGCACCAUCGACCGAUCCUGAAGUCUUCGGAUGGAUUUGAGUAUGAGCAUAGCUGUUGGGACCCGAAAGAUGGUGAACUUUGCUUGGAUAGGUUGAAGCCAGAGGAAACUCUGGUGGAGGACCGAUCGGGGUUCUGACGUGCAAAUCGAUCUCCAAAUUUGAGCAAAGGGGCGAAAGACUAAUCGAACCAUCUAGUAGCUGGUUCCUGCCGAAGUUUCCCUCAGGAUAGCAACAGCGAUCGUAGUUUUAUGAGGUAAGCGAAUGAUAGAGGCCUUGGGGUUGAAACAACCUUAACCUAUUCUCAAACUUUAAAUGUGUAAGAAGCCCUUGUUACUUUGNUGAACGUGGCAUUCAAAUACACGCUGUUAGUGGGCCAUUUUGGAAGCAGAACUGGCGAUGCGGGAUGAACCGAACNCAAGGUUAAGGUGCCAGAAUGCACGCUCAUCAGNCACCACACAUGGUGUUGGUUCAUNUAGACAGCAGGACGGUGCCCACAGAAGUUGGAAUCNANUAAGGAGUGUGUAACAACUCNCCCACNGAAUGGCGUAGACNACCAAAUGGCCGGCGCUCAUCCGUGUUACCCACACUUCACCGGUGGAGAUACUGCUCCUCGUCAACGAGCAUGCAGGCGCAAGAGUNGAGACGAAGCCUCGGGGGUGACCCCAGGUCGAUGGCANUUUGGUGCAGAUCNNGGUGAAAGUCGCAAAUACUCCUUUNAGAANUUUGAGGANUGAAGUGGGGAAGGGUUCCGUGGUAACAGCAGUNGGCCACGGGUCAGUCGAUCCUAAGGAGUAGGGUAGUUCCGUAAAAGCAUGCAUUUGCAUNGUUNUCCGAAGGGGAAGCCGGCUAAAAUUCCUGCACCUAGAGGUGGAUUUCACGCGGCAACGCAACUGAAGGUGGAGACGUCGGCGGGGGUCCUGGGUAGAGUUCUCUUUUCUACUUAACAACCUGUCACCCNGAAAACGGUUUAUCCGGAGAUAGGGUUUAAUGGUUGGUAGAGCCUUGCACUUCUGCGAGGUCCGGUGUACCCCUGACGACCCUNGAAAAU